AGCACUACAACGGGUGGAGCCUGCGGUUUAAUUGGACUCAACGCCGGAAAACUCACCGGGGGUGACAGCAAGAUGUAGGUCAAGCUAAAGACUUUACCUGAAUCGCUGAGAGGAGGUGCAUGGCCGUCGUCAGUUCGUACUGUGAAGCAUCCUGCUAAGUCAGGCAACGAGCGAGACCCGUGCCCACUGUUCCCAGCAUGUCCUUCGGGAUGAUGGGUACUCUGUGGGGACCGCUGGUGCUAAACCAGAGGAAGGUGCGGGCUACGGUAGGUCAGUAUGCCCCGAAUCUCCCGGGCUACACGCGGGCUACAAUGGUUGGGACAAUGGGUCCCUACCCCGAAAGGUGAUGGUAAUCUCUUAAACCCAACCGUAGUUCGAAUCGAGGACUGUAACUCGUCCUCGUGAAGCUGGAAUCCGUAGUAAUCGCGUUUCAACAUAGCGCGGUGAAUACGUCCCUGCUCCUUGCACACACCGCCCGU
rnacentral:rRNA from 1 species